rnacentral:rRNA from 1 species
AGUGAACGCUGGCGGCGGGCCUAAUACAUGCAAGUCGAACGGAGUGGGGCACGGGUGGGUAAGGUAUAGCUAGGAAGCCGUACACUAGAGGACAACAGUUGGAAACGACGGCUAAUACUAUAGAGUGUAGGAUGAGGCUAUAUUGUAUGAGCUAGUUGGUGGGGUAAGGGCUAACCAAGGCUAGGAAGCAUAACUGGUCUGAGAGGAUGAUCAGUCACACUGGAACUGAGACACGGUCCAGACUCCUACGGGAGGCAGCAGUAGGGAAUAUUGCUCAAUGGGGGCAACCCUGAUGCAGCCACGCCGCGUGGAGGAUGACGCUCUUCGGAUCGUAAAGCUCUGUUGUUAGGGAAGUCGUUUGUAUCUGAUCGUCCCCUGACGUUACCUACCCAGAAAGCCCCGGCUAACUCCGUGCCAGCAGCCGCGGUAAUUC